UUGCACAAUUUUCACUUGAGUUUGAAACCGAAACUUUAAUGGCCUCGUCGUCGACACGAGGAGCAAGACCGAGCGCCAUCUGCAUCAGUACGUGUUUUGAAAUGUCGUUGCUGUUGGUCGUCGGGCUCGUCGGUUCGCAGUUUUCGUCUUUCAACUCUUCAAAACGGGCAAAAACGUGAAUAUUUAGAAUCUCAGUCGUCAGGCACUGCAUUAUGUACAACUGCUUGUGUUACAACUUCUGCACCAGCUCAGUCGGAAGAAACUACAAGCGAUGCGCAGGACUGCAAUUACGCUGCUUGCAGUUUGUCAUACAAAUGGAGGAGACUUGCAGGAUGCUUACGAAUCAUGCAGAACAAGGGCCAGCUACUGAAAAGAGGUAUGUGGCAUAUGAUUGUUGCAGGAAAACAUUUACGUGUACUUUUGCGAAAAGUUUUUCUACAGGUUUUCUCACUGAAACUGAAUUCCCAGUUUAUCGCUUCAAUAGGCACUACGUUUAUGUAAUUUUGUCCUCGGAUGAGGCAAGAAUGGAUCCAGUCUCAUCUGCCACGAAGUGUCCUUCAGAAUGAGAUGCGGAGAAAGGUCACUUGCGCCACUCUCACUGCACCGCCGAAUUUUAUGGCAAGUCGAGUCCUUUCCUUCCAGUUAUGCGGCUGUCAUAAUGAACGCCACUUUGCCAGUGCUUAAGUGUUUUCAGUAAGCAAAGUUGCAAAGCAAAGUUCAGUAAAGUCAGUUGUGACUUGGAUAGGUGAGCAUGCGGAUCUGGCUAGUUCUAGCCGAGGGUAUUAUAGCUGUUGGCAUUUCAGUAUGGUGAACCCCUUGGCUCGGCCUUACAUAUGCCGUGCUGUUCCGUGAAAGGUAGCCACUACUCAACGUGUUCUUUGUGUGGAUUAUGGCCGUCGCACAAGAGGAAGAUUUUGAAGUAGCCUGUGUGUAUGUUUCAUAUGAAAUCAGGUUAAAACUUGGGCAGGUUGGUGUGACAUACUAAAAGCGUAUGUUUCCUGGGCGCUGAGGAGCGCGACGUUGCGGGCAACGAGCACGAGCUGUGCAAUGACUGCGACGAGCUUUAUGUGUGGUCUCAUCUUGCAUCUGACCCAAUAUGCCAUUAAGCGAAACAGAAAACUUCGUGCCACUAUUAUGUUUGAAGUGGACACUGCGACAAAAAAGGCGGCUACGCCACGGCAAAGAACUUGCAUCAAAGAAAUCAAGAACCGAAGAUGCAUCUCGCCAUUAAAUCUAGAACUAGGGAACUGUGUGCGACUAAGUUAAGAGAUAAACAUUUUAAAGUGCAAUAUCAAGAGGUGCCGAAGAUGUGUUCCAAUAUCAUCCAGAUAAAUGUGUGUGACAGCGCGACUAAGUCAAGCCAAGACUGAAACAUUUUUAAGUGCAGUAUCAAGAGACGCCAAAUAAUCUGCAUCAAAACAAUCGGCAGCUGAAGAUGUGUCUCAACAUUAAAUCAAGAGAACCAGGCAACGGUGUGUGACUAAGUCAAGUCAAAGUGAAACAUUUUUAAGUACAAUAUAAAGAGUGAAAGUGUUUUCGUAUUGUGCAGCAUAAAAUAAAGAACUUUUGGAGUCUUGUUAUGUUAUGUUGCUUGCCUGUGCUGCAGAUAGGCACUGAUGUGCAAACAGA